GUUAACGCUGGCGGCGUGCCUAACACAUGCAAGUCGAACGGUUCUAAGCGCGAGCUUAGGAUAGUGGCGAACGGGUGAGUAAAGGUAGGAAUCUACCCCUUGGACGGAGAUAGCUACUGGAAACGGUAGGUAAACUUCGAUAAGCCCGAGAGGGGAAAGUGGUGAGACAGCCGAGGGAUGAGCCUACUCUCCAUCAGGUAGUUGGUGAGAUAAAGCUUACCAAGCCGAUGACGGAUAACCGGUGUGAGAGCAUGAACGGUCACAAGGGCACUGAGAGACGGGCCCUACUCCUACGGGAGGCAGCAGUGGGGAAUCUUGGACAAUGGGCGAAAGCCUGAUCCAGCGACGCCGCGUGGAGGAAGAAGUCCUUCGGGAUGUAAACUUCUGAACUAGCCGAAUAAAAGGCCUGUGGACACACAGGAGAAGAAAGUAGGCUAGGAAAAGUCCCGGCUAACUACGUG
rnacentral:rRNA from 1 species